UACGGGGGGGGCAAGCGUUGUUCGGAAUUACUGGGCGUAAAGGGCGCGUAGGCGGUACUUCAAGUCAGACGUGAAAUCCCUCGGCUUAACCGGGGAACUGCGUCUGAUACUGGUUGGCUUGAAUCCGGGAGAGGGAUGUGGAAUUCCAGGUGUAGCGGUGAAAUGCGUAGAUAUCUGGAGGAACACCGGUGGCGAAGGCGGCUUCCUGGACCGACACUGACGCUGAGGCGCGAAAGCUAGGGGAGCAAACGGG
rnacentral:rRNA from 1 species